GUGGGGAAUAUUGGACAAUGGGGGCAACCCUGAUCCAGCCAUGCCGCGUGUGUGAAGAAGGCCUUUUGGUUGUAAAGCACUUUAAGCAGUGAAGAAGACUCUAUGGUUAAUACCCAUAGACGAUGACAUUAGCUGCAGAAUAAGCACCGGCUAACUCUGUGCCAGCAGCCGCGGUAAUACAGAGGGUGCAAGCGUUAAUCGGAAUUACUGGGCGUAAAGCGAGCGUAGGUGGCUUAAUAAGUCAGAUGUGAAAUCCCCGGGCUUAACCUGGGAACUGCAUCUGAUACUGUUGGGCUAGAGUAGGUGAGAGGGAGGUAGAAUUUCAGGUGUAGCGGUGAAAUGCGUAGAGAUCUGAAGGAAUACCGAUGGCGAAGGCAGCCUCCUGGCAUCAUACUGACACUGAGGUUCGAAAGCGUGGGUAGCAA
rnacentral:rRNA from 1 species